UCAACAGACUUUCUGCUGAAUGAACUAAAGAAUACUUUGUAGCAAUCGAAAGUAUGCAGCACACCUCCCGGAUUGUGAUGGCGGAUUGGUCUGCAACAAGUUAUUUGCUUUUCUUCUUCCUUCCGUUAAGGUUUUGCUAUUGUAUGGAUAUUCUUAACAGCAUGAGAAAACUAUCAUUUGAUUAGCAUUCACUUAUGAUAUCUUUGCGGUAAGAAGAGAGUAGAGCAGCAACAAUCUACCUUGUCCAAAAAGCAGCAGCGAAGUGAAGUAGUCAAGACGAAAUUUUAAUUCACAAUUGUGGUGUCUCAUGAAAGCACAAAUGAUGUCUUUUAGUCCUGACAAAAAAUGAAGUCUUGAGCUAUUCCAACAGUUAAGUAAUGGACACCGAUACAGCGAGGAGGCAACAACCGGCAACAGCAAGAAUCGGCAACAGCGAGCAGCCGGCAAAAGCGAGGACCGGCAACAGCAAGCAACCGGCAACAGCGAGGAGCUUUAAAUUAGAACUGAUUGAUUGGAAAGACAUAUUUGAAACGGCAUUAAGUACCUCGGGAGGAAGAAUCUCAGCACUUCCUUUAGGUGAAGCUUGAAAUGAAGGGGAAAUAGAAUUUUGUUCUUUCUAAAAUACGUUAUGCUAAUUAUUUCUAAAAUACACUAGUAUACCAUACAUUAUGUACAUGCAUUAUUAAUACAUACAUUAUUAAUAUAUAUAUAUAGGAUAUAUUAUUAAUAGCUUCCCAAGUUAUCUCUAAUCUUUAAAUGCAGUUCAUAACUCACCACACAGUUUUUAACGUAUACUUGUGAACGUCUGAAAAACAAAAUGAGAUCCCGAACCAAAGCUGUGUGUUUAGUACAAGACAAGGGUGGAGUUUGCCACAAAUUGUCCUUAAAAUAUUGGAUCAUCGUUUAUUUCUUAACUAAAACUGCACCACAUCUAAAAUUUUUA